rnacentral:piRNA from 1 species
UGAGAUAAGUACUAAGAAUGUGGUC